rnacentral:rRNA from 1 species
CAGGCCUAACACUAGCAAGUCGAGGGGCAGCAUGGUCUUAGCUUGCUAAGACUGAUGGSGACCGGCGCACGGGUGAGUAACGCGUAUCCAACCUUCCCCUUAGUAGGGCAUAGCCCGGCGAAAGUCGGAUUAAUACCCUAUGUUUUCCAAUGAAGACAUCUGAGCUGGAACAAAGAUUUAUCGCUAAGGGAUGGGGAUGCGUCUGAUUAGGUUGUUGGCGGGGUAACGGCCCACCAAGCCAUCGAUCAGUAGGGGUUCUGAGAGGAAGGUCCCCCACAUUGGUACUGAGACACGGACCAGACUCCUACGGGAGGCAGCAGUGAGGAAUAUUGGUCAAUGGGCGCAGGCCUGAACCAGCCAAGUAGCGUGUGGGAUGACUGCCCUACGGGUUGUAAACCACUUUUGCGCGGGGAUAACGAGCGGGACGCGUCCCGCGUUGCAGGUACCGCGCGAAUAAGGACCGGCUAAUUCCGUGCCAGCAGCCGCGGUAAUACGGAAGGUCCUGGCGUUAUCCGGAUUUAUUGGGUUUAAAGGGUGCGCAGGCGGUCGAUUAAGUCAGCGGUGAAAUGUCCCGGCUCAACCGGGGAGCUGCCGUUGAUACUGGUUGGCUUGAGUGCGGACGGCGCCGGCGGAAUGAGUGGUGUAGCGGUGAAAUGCAUAGAUAUCACUCAGAACACCGAUCGCGAAGGCAGCUGGCGAGGCCGUCACUGACGCUGAGGCACGAAAGCGUGGGGAUCAAACAGGAUUAGAUACCCUGGUAGUCCACGCAGUAAACGAUGAUGACUUGUUGUCGGCGACAGACAGUCGGUGACAAAGCGAAAGCGAUAAGUCAUCCACCUGGGGAAUACGAUCGCAAGGUUGAAACUCAAAGGAAUUGACGGGGGCCCGCACAAGCGGAGGAGCAUGUGGUUUAAUUCGAUGAUACGCGAGGAACCUUACCUGGACUCAAAUGUUGGGUGACCGGCCAAGAGAUUGGCCUUUCCUUCGGGACAUCCAGCAAGGUGCUGCAUGGUUGUCGUCAGCUCGUGCCGUGAGGUGUCAGGUUAAGUCCUAUAACGAGCGCAACCCCUACGCCCAGUUGCCAGCGGGUAAAGCCGGGGACUCUGGGGGAACUGCCCGCGCAAGCGGAGAGGAAGGUGGGGAUGACGUCAAAUCAGCACGGCCCUUACGUCCAGGGCGACACACGUGCUACAAUGGCCGGUACAGAGGGCAGCCACCUGGCGACAGGGAGCGAAUCUCGAAAGCCGGUCUCAGUUCGGAUCGGAGUCUGCAACCCGACUCCGUGAAGUUGGAUUCGCUAGUAAUCGCGCAUCAGCCAUGGCGCGGUGAAUACGUUCCCGG